GACGAACGCUGGCGGCGUGCCUAAUACAUGCAAGUAGAACGCAGUUGCGAACGGGUGAGUAACGCGUAGGUAACCGCCUUGUAGCGGGGGAUAACUAUUGGAAACGAUAGCUAAUACCGCAUACUACCAGAUGGACCUGCGUUGUAUUAGCUAGUUGGUGAGGUAACGGCUCACUAAGGCAACGCUACAUUGCCGACCUGAGAGGGUGAACGGCCGUACUGGGAAUGGGACACGGCCCAGACGCCUACGGGAGGCAGCAGGAGGGAAACUUGGGCAAUGGGGAGAACGCUGACAAGGCAACGGCGGGGGAGUGGAGAAGGUUUUGGGAUCGUAAAGCGCUGUAGUUAAGGAAGCGGUACUUAACCAGAAAGGGACGGCUAACUACGUGCCAGCAGCCGCGGUAAUAC
rnacentral:rRNA from 1 species